GACGUCACGAAGUGGUGAUGACGCAACAGAAGAACCCACUUCAACAUGGUUUGUGACAUCAUAGAGGAUCAAGCGGACCAUGAAAAGAAAGAAGAAUGAAGAAAAGUCAGCAAAAAGCUGCAGAAAAAAAGCGCAAGACGAAGAACAAAGACGAAGACGCCAAUCAAGGAUAAACGGUUGGAGGUUUGCGGUUUAAGUAUGAGUUGUGUGUUGUAUGUAUGUACGUCUGCGCUGUUGUACUGUAGUUCUGCUGGACCUAAUGUUGCCAGCUAUUUUUAGUCAGUCACUACUUUAGUGCAUUUUGCAUGUCACUGAAACAUAUGCAAUGAAACUAUGGCGAACAUCUUGCUGGAUCGGAUUUUGUUGUUGUACACAAAAAGUCGAAUCUUUUAACGAUUCUGUAUUGUCCUAAUCACUUGGUGAGAACGCUAUGUUGGUACACAAAUACUCGAGUAAUAUUAACACCCAUCAUAGUAAGCGCAUAAACGUGAUAGAAUUCCAUUUGAUAUACCAUAAUAUAAUGUAAUGUGACUUUCUCUUAUGUAAUGUAAACUUCCCCACGAGACUAAUUUUAAAUUAAAACGUCAUUUAGCGUGAUUGCGACGAUGGCCACGUCACAAUUACGCUACGACGUCGAUACGGUGGAUCAGAGCAUUGUCCUGACCCAGCGUUCGGUGCGGUUACGUUAAGCUUAGAUUGAGUUACUUAACGGUCGGGUUGUUGCGUGGACGUCGCCGCCAGUGAUGCUAUACGCUCGGUUUUAGGUCACUACUAAUGCGGUUCGUAACAACUUGACGCAGUUUUGUAACGGUCGAUGCGGUGCGUAACAUCCGGACGUUAUUAUAUUGUGUGGAGAUACGACGAGAGUAUCGCGGUACCAACAUGGCGACUUACCUAUAGAUUAACACUUGAUUGAACAUUCAGUACACUGCAGAUGAUUAUCCUUCGGGAUUUGAACCAUAUUUUCUUUGAAGAUGUUUCAAUGAUUAUGUCCGCGUUAAUUUUUUUAAACCGUCCUAUUUUGUAUGAUUGAGCUGUUGUGUUUGUUGCAUGUUUGGCACAUGUAUGUCGCUGCACUCGUUGUACUAUUUUUGUCUUUUUGUUGGUGUGUUCCUUGUGCACAUUUAUGUGCGUCGUUGUACUAUUUUUGUUCAUAUGGUUUGUUUUACCUUGCCUGGGUACGGCAAGGGGUUUCUCACCAGAGUAGAAACCCACUACCAUUGGCUGGGGGCUUGUCGUGCCGUAGUGGCUUUCCACCAACGCCAGCCACAUAAACUAUGAAGGUAUUUUAAUCCUGUUUCUAUUUUUCAGAAGCUUCAAUAAAAGUCAUGGCGUUCAGUUUUAAUUAAAUAGAACUCAAUACGAGUUAAUUUAUACUGUUUUAAUACUGUACAGUCGUUUUGCUGUUAAUUAUUCGCUGUAUUAAACACUUAACCAGAAUUUCGUUACUGUAUUUGAAAUAAAUAAAAUAAAACGUUAUGUU